AACGAACGCUGGCGGCAGGCCUAACACAUGCAAGUCGAACGCCCGUAGCAAUACGGGAGUGGCAGACGGGUGAGUAACGCGUGGGAACGUGCCCUUCGGUUCGGAAUAACUCAGGGAAACUUGAGCUAAUACCGGAUACGGUCCGUAAGGAGAAAGAUUUAUCGCCGAAGGAUCGGCCCGCGUCGGAUUAGCUAGUUGGUGAGGUAACGGCCCACCAAGGCGACGAUCCGUAGCUGGUCUGAGAGGANGAUCAGCCACACUGGGACUGAGACACGGCCCAGACUCCUACGGGAGGCAGCAGUGGGGAAUAUUGGACAAUGGGCGGAAAGCCUGAUCCAGCCAUGCCGCGUGAGUGAAGAAGGCCUUAGGGUUGUAAAGCUCUUUCAG
rnacentral:rRNA from 1 species